UGGGAUGAUGAUCAUAAAUCAAUAACUUUCGUUCUACUGACUGCGAUCAAACGAUCGUGUAGACACCUUUUACUCUGACC
rnacentral:snoRNA from 18 species